rnacentral:rRNA from 1 species
GACGAACCGUGCGAACGUUGUUCGGAAUCACUGGGCUUAAAGGGCGCGUAGGCGGGCUGCCAAGUCCGGGGUGAAAGCCCUCCGCUCAACGGGAGGAAUGGCCUUGGAUACUGGCGGCCUGGAGGAAGGUAGGGGCGUGCGGAACUCUCGGUGGAGCGGUGAAAUGUGUUGAUAUCGGAAGGAACGCCGGUGGCGAAAGCGAUCCGCUGGACCUCUUCUGACACUGAGGCGCGAAAGCCAGGGGAGCAAACGGG